UAGAGAGUGAGGUGGGAGAGAGAGAAAUAGAGAGUGAGGUGGGAGAGAGAAAUAGAGAGUGAGGUGGGAGAGAGAAAUAGAGAGUGAGGUGGGAGAGAAAAAUAGAGAGUGAGGUGGGAGACGGAGAGAGAGAAACAGUAGACAUUUUUUGCCAAUUUUAACCGCACACUUGUUUGUGUACAUGGAUUCAUUAUGUCAUAUGUUUUUCCCCAAACACCACUUUUCAUCAAUUUGUAUAGCAGACCCUCAUGCCAAAUUGAGUCAAAAGCUUUUUUGAAAUCAACAAAGUAUGAGAAGACUUUCCCUUUGUUUUGGUUUGUUUGUUUGUCAAUUAGGGUGUGCAGGGGUGAAUACGUGGUCUGUCGUACGGUAAUUAGGUAAAAAGACAAUUUGACAUUUGCUCAGUACAUUGUUUUCACUGAGGAAAUAUACGAGUUUGCUGUUAAUGAUAAAGCAAAGGAAUUUCCCAAGGUUGCUGUUGACUCAUAUCCCACUGUAGUUAUUGGGGUCAAAUUUGUCUCCACUUUUGUGGAUUGGAGUGAUCAGACCUUGGUUCCAAAUAUUGGGGAAGAUGCCAGAGCUGAGGAUGAUGUUAAAGAGUUUAAGUAUAGCCA
ensembl:lncRNA